rnacentral:rRNA from 1 species
UACGGAGGGUGCAAGCGUUAAUCGGAAUUACUGGGCGUAAAGCGCACGCAGGCGGUUUGUUAAGUUGGAUGUGAAAUCCCCGGGCUCAACCUGGGAACUGCAUCCAAAACUGGCAAGCUAGAGUAUGGUAGAGGGUGGUGGAAUUUCCUGUGUAGCGGUGAAAUGCGUAGAUAUAGGAAGGAACACCAGUGGCGAAGGCGACCACCUGGACUGAUACUGACACUGAGGUGCGAAAGCGUGGGGAGCAAACAGG